UACGUAGGGAGCAAGCGUUGUCCGGAAUCAUUGGGCGUAAAGCGCGCGUAGGUGGCCUCAUAAGUCCGCUGUGAAAGUCAAAGGCUCAACCUUUGAAAGCCGGUGGAUACUGUGGGCUAGAGUACGGAAGAGGCGAGUGGAAUUCCUGGUGUAGCGGUGGAAUGCGCAGAUAUCAGGAGGAACACCAAUAGCGAAGGCAGCUCGCUGGGACGUUACUGACACUGAGGCGCGAAAGCGUGGGGAGCAAACAGG
rnacentral:rRNA from 1 species